rnacentral:lncRNA from 1 species
AAAUUAUAAAUAUAAUACAUAUUGUCUCAUAAGUGUAGCUCAAAUGGUAGCUAUCAGAGAUAUAAUUGUCACUACAAGAAAUUUGAUUUUUGGCAGCGCCUUUUUUUGUUACAAGCCGUUGACAAAAACUACCUUGUAGUGUGUAGUAGCCGGGGUUUGAAUCCCGAAUUCCUUAUUUUCGACAUUUAAAUGUGUGAAUCUAUCCAUUGAAAUACUUCACAAAAAAAUAAAAAUAAAUACAUGUUGUUACAUUAUAAUAGGAGAAUGGAUUCUCUUAUAAUAGAGGUGCAUCUGUUGUAAUGACAGUUACCGACAUGAGUUAGCAAAAUCAGUUCCCAAUAUAAUAUCUCACACCUGGAAAAAAUACAAAAUCAGUUCCCACACAUAAAUUAUAAGAGAAAAAAAUAUAAAAAAUAUACUUAUUAAUAAAAAUAUAAUAAUUUGAAAUAUAUUUUUUUAUAUAUUUUUUUUAAUAGUUGCAUAGGAAAAUAUAAAAAUAGUUUUUAUUAGUUAUUGAUUAUGAAUAAGAUAAGAGAGUAAAUUAAAUGCAGUUUGCAUUUAAUUUUAAGAGAUUUUUUUUCCUUAUAUUUUGAGACAGGAGUAUAAUUUAGGAAAGACAACCGACAAACAAAUAAAGCAAAGUGAAAAUAUAAUCGGAAAAUGCAAGCCUCUGCUAGAAGAAACAAUUAAUCUCUGCGACGACGUCCGACAUCCAGAGAAUGGAAGCCUUUGUUACUUAAAUGGUAUUUUGGUCCUUCUCUUUCAUAAAAUCUACAAUUUUGGUCUCUUNUUUUUUUUUUUUUUCACAAUUGGUUGGUGCUUCAAUUGAUAAACAAUUAAUCUAUGGGGAAAAUUAUCACAUAAAAUUGGCCAUGAGAUUAAACAAGCUCAUGAGAUUUUGUUAAUUGUUAUAUCCUAAAAGAUAUAUAUAAACUUUAUUAACUCACAAUAUUCGUUCAGACACGUCCAAAUAUUGCGACCUUCCGAUUUUGGACAAUCACUUGUAGAUUUGCAGGGCAAUUUGCCUACAUUGUCAAAUAAGAAAAAAGGAAAGUUAGCUUGUUCAAAAAAAAAAAAAAGAAAAAGGAAAGUUACUAAGAGGUUAUAUAAUAUUUGUGUAUAAGAUAUGGUGUGAAAAAUGACAUACUUGUAUUACCAACGGAUACGGAUUCAACAAGAAACAUCGAAAGAAAGAUGAUCAAAACAUAAAUAAACAUGGACGUUUUAGCCAUGUAUUUCUUAUUUUGUAUAUAUAAAUUAAUGAAAUGUUUUCGAAUGCUUUAUAAGAAAUUUUUN